GACGAACGCUGGCGGCGUGCUUAACACAUGCAAGUCGAACGGAAAGGCCCUGCUUUUGUGGGGUGCUCGAGUGGCGAACGGGUGAGUAACACGUGAGUAACCUGCCCUUGACUUUGGGAUAACUUCAGGAAACUGGGGCUAAUACCGGAUAGGAGCUCCUGCUGCAUGGUGGGGGUUGGAAAGUUUCGGCGGUUGGGGAUGGACUCGCGGCUUAUCAGCUUGUUGGUGGGGUAGUGGCUUACCAAGGCUUUGACGGGUAGCCGGCCUGAGAGGGUGACCGGCCAAAUGGGGACUGAGAUACGCCCCGGAUUCUUACGGGAGGAAGAGGGGGGGAUAAUUGCACAAGGGGGGGAGGCCUGAGGAAGAACGCCGGCGGGCGGAAGACCGGCCUUCGGGUGGAAAACCGCUUUCGCCGGGGAGGAAGCGUAGGUGAGGGUAUUGGGUAAGGAGGCACCGGCUAACUACGU
rnacentral:rRNA from 1 species